rnacentral:other from 1 species
AUACCUCUGCGGAACAGGUGAGCUGCUAAGUACAUACCUUGAGCCUAUUACUUUACCCAGGGAACAUACUGUAAAUAUGUUGUUGUGCAGCCCCAGAAUAUGGGAAGCCUGAUACAUCUUUCAGUUCUCCCACCUGAACCUCUGGUUCAAGGGCAACAGUAGCCACAGUAAUCGUGGAGUGUAU